UGCUGGAGUCAUUAAUGCAGACCAUCGGAAUAAUGCUCGGGCAUCUCGUCAAAUGCUGUCAGGGAAUGUUGCAGUUACUGUGUCUGCUAUAUCGACCCCAAUGAACACUCGCCACCAACCAGGAGAUCGUCACUUGGACCCGCCUUUUACUGAUGGUUACGCAUUUAUGGAUGGGAUAGAGAUGUACAACACGAGGAGGAGGAGAGGAAUUAGCAUCUGAUGGAGAAAAAGAAAAAAGCUGGAAGCAGGAGGAGGAAAAGAUCCCGCCAUUCUGGUCAUUAAAAGCACUAAAGAUUUGACCAGCAUGUUUUUUAACAAAAUAGAGGGGAUAUUUUUGAUUUUAUUUUUUUUUUACAAAAUAAGCUGCUUUUUCAUAAUACUGAACUAUUCCCUUACUGCAGUGUUAACUGCUGUUCACACCAAGAAUGAAAACUACAAUGAUAACUACUAAUUCUAUGAGAAGAGAGAAGAUCAUACCACAACUUCAACAAUAACAACACAGAAUUUCAGUCACACUAUUUCCACCGGAAAUGGUAAACCAUCCGGGGAACCUUUGGGAUACUCAUUUUAACAAAAUACUAUUUGGGACACGUACACUAAUUCUUAUUUAGAAUAAGAUUUAAGACAUAUAGUAUGUAAAUUGAGAUAACAGGAUGCAGCAAGAGUUAUCAUUAUGUCACCUUUUUAUUUGUUCUUGGUGUGAAUAGGCCUUUAGUAGGAAUGGGCAUUUAGUAUAGUGUUUAAAUCGGUACAGUAUCCUCAAUGCAAACUAUUACUGGAUUAAUUUCACAUUGUGUUGUUAACUGAAUUUGAGGAUUAUUCAUUAUUAAUAAAUAUUAACACCAUG